rnacentral:rRNA from 1 species
AGCGAAUAGAUACCCCGGGUAGUCCCAGCUGUAAACGAUGCAGACUCGGUGAUGAAUUGGCUUAUUGCUAAAUUCAGUGCCGCAGGGAAGCCGUUAAGUUUGCCGCCUGGGGAGUACGGUCGCAAGACUGAAACUUAAAGGAAUUGGCGGGGGUAGCACCACAAGGGGUGAAGCCUGCGGUUCAAUUGGAGUCAACGCCGGAAAUCUUACCGGGGGUCGACAGCAGAGUGAAGGUCAAGCUGAAGACUUUACCAGACAAGCUGAGAGGAGGUGCAUGGCCGUCGCCAGCUCGUGCCGUGAGGUGUCCUGUUAAGUCAGGUAACGAGCGAGAUCCCUGCCUCUAGUUGCUACCAUUAUUCUCAGGAGUAGUGGAGCUAAUU